rnacentral:misc_RNA from 1 species
GAAAUGCGAUAAGUAAUGUGAAUUGCAGAAUUCAGUGAAUCAUCGAAUCUUUGAACGCACAUUGCGCCCGGCAGUAAUCUGCCGGGCAUGCCUGUCCGAGCGUCAGGGCCAACCCUCGGGCGCGGUUCUCCGAGCCGCAGCCCGGCGUUGGGGCGCUGCGGGGCACUCUCGCCCCGCAGGCCCCGAAAUACAGUGGCGGUCCCGCCGCGGCGCCCCCUGCGUAGUAGACUUACCUCGCAUCGGGAGCCGGCGGAGGCCUGCCGUGAAACCCUCCAUCUAGCUGGUUGACCUCGGAUCAGGUAGGGUUACCCGCUGAACUUAA